UGAACACAGGCCCUUGGGAAUGCAGUUUGGAGCUCCAAACUGGUAUAAGGAGUGCCAAUUUUCCUAGGGUCUAUCUUAGUUUGAAUUUUUAGGAUAUCUAGUCCACCUCCACCUUUCCCACCUUUUUGUUUGUUUGUUUUUUGUUUUGGUACCGGAGAUCGAACUCGGACCUUCCGCUUGCGAGGCAGCCGGCGGAACGCCCGGCCCCUUUUCCACCUUUCCUCUUUGGAAUGCAGUCAUAAUUUAUGAUGAAGUGCAUUGGAAGUCCGUUGACUGCUCAAGGCAUAAUGCUCACUGCAGAAAAUUCAUAAAUAAGAAAAGAACAAAGAAAAUCUCACCAUCCAGAG
rnacentral:lncRNA from 1 species